rnacentral:lncRNA from 1 species
AGGGGGAGGGGAGGUGUUUAGGAGAAAGUAGGGGCUGUGGGUGUCGGGAGCCGGCUGACGGGUGGACAAGGGGGGGUUAGCAGCUGGGCUGCGACCGUUAGGGAGGGGCUCAAGGUGUGCAUGUGUGAGGGAAGAGAGAGAGAGAGAAGGGCGCCUCAGAGGUGACUUUCAGCCUGCGAGCCUUCUUCCCGGGGCGCCAUAAACGCCCCCAAUUUCCCAGCUGCUAAAGGAAGAGGAAGGUACCUGUGCGUGCACGCAGACGGGAAGGGCUGGGGAAGCGGGAGGACUGAGAAAAGCCGGGAUCUGCCUCUGUCACCCAGGCUGGAGUGCGGUGGCGCGAUCUCGCCUCACUGCAGCCUCUGCCUCCUCGGCUCAAGAUCUUAGCAAAGCAAUGUCUCAAGAUGGUGCUUCUCAGUUCCAAGAAGUCAUUCGGCAAGAGCUAGAAUUAUCUGUGAAGAAGGAACUAGAAAAAAUACUCACCACAGCAUCAUCACAUGAAUUUGAG